rnacentral:rRNA from 1 species
UACGUAGGGUGCGAGCGUUAAUCGGAAUUACUGGGCGUAAAGCGUGCGCAGGCGGUCGCGCAAGUCAGGUGUGAAAGCCCCGAGCUUAACUUGGGAAUUGCAUUUGAAACUACGUGACUGGAGUGUGGCAGAGGGAGGUGGAAUUCCACGUGUAGCGGUGAAAUGCGUAGAGAUGUGGAGGAACACCGAUGGCGAAGGCAGCCUCCUGGGCCAACACUGACGCUCAUGCACGAAAGCGUGGGGAGCAAACAGG